AGCAAACAACAAACAAACAAAAAACGACGUUGCUAGAGAAAUUGGAGUGGGCUAACCGCUACUUGGUUUGUUGCAGAGUUGGCCAAUACAUGCCGCAAAGACCGCCAGCUACGCGCGCCUCCACACUUCACCACCUCACGUGAUGCAGGGGUGUCAAACUGAAGGCAUGGGGGCCAGAAUCAGCCCGGCAAAGACUCCAAUCCACCUUUGGGAAAUUUGAAGGAGUGCACAGAUUUUGAACUUUUAGGUGGAUUGCCAUAAAUUGCAGCUUUUCCAACCAAUAUCGACUCCAUUCCCAUCGCCAUUCAUACUACACCAAAGUAGUUAAGUAACAGAAAAACAAUUAAUUAAUGAUCAAACUUAUGAUCAAAGGUAAUAAAACAUACAUUAGAGAAGUGGACAUAUGCUCAACCACACAUACAUAUACACUUCAAUAUUCCGACUGAAUGUGAACUAUAGCUGAAAAAGUAAAACUAUAAAAGUAUAUGAAGUUUACCCAACGUUUUUUGGGAGUGAUAUUAACUACUGAUUGCAAGGGUGAUGAGAAAUAAGAUUGCUGGUACAGAUACUCCUUUCUUUUAGUUAUCUGAGCAUUUUAACUUCACUGGACAGUGACAAUAGUGAGAGAGAGGAAAGUGGAGAGACAUCAAAGAAAGGACAUGCAGAUUGUUUGUGAAGUGCAAAUAUAUAAAGACACAUUUAGAAUAAUUACACCAUGGCUGGGGAUCCUUUGCAGGAAGAAGGAAGCGGCGGUCUACACGAUGACCUCACCGCUUCAUCUGAAGACCAGAAACAGCACUGGCUCCAUAAGGCCAAGGAAAAGACAGGAUAUUCCCAGAAUGCAUUUCACAGGGGGCAAUAUGCUAAUAUUAGCACAGCAGCCAAUGGCAGUUCGAGAGUCGUGCUCCAGAUACACGAGGGGGCCGGAUCAGGUUACGUGGCUGAGACACAAACAGCGUACGUGCAGCAGUAAGAGAAAGUAGACGGAAGACUGUACUGGGCCUGCUAGACUAAUCCAUCACUCCUGACAUAUGUAUGCAUAUAGCCAAGCCCCUUUCCUUAUCUGCCACAUGAUGUCCACCUUAAGUCUUGAUCAUGUGACUGUUUUACUCCCCGGGGGUGGUGCGACAUGCCUCCUUCUAAUAGGAGUCCAAAAGGUCAGUCAGGUUACCGCAUGGGCUCACAGAUCAUAACUUUAGGAGCAGUAGUAAAUCCUCAGGCUGCCCCUGAUACAGUUUAGGAUCUGAAGGCAGAGCAGGACCAUCCUUGGGCAAAGUGCACAGUGACUGAAAUGAGCGGCAGGAAUUCACUCCAAGCACUCGCACACUGUCUUCUAGCACAUGCUCAGGUUAAUUAAAGUGGGUAAUGGUGACUUUGAGGUUUUGCCUUUUCACGUAUCGAAAAACAAGUCAAGUUCUCUGUCUGCUGUUUGAUUAAAUUCCAGCAGCUGUGAGGCUCCAUACUGUAGUGGUUUACACGUUUGCUUAACUCGGUCGUGGUGGAUGGCCGCCCUUCCCUGAGUCUGAUUCUACUGGAGGUUUCUUCCUGUUAAAAGGGAGUUUUUCUUUCCCACUGCUGCCAAGCGCUUGCUUAAAGAGGGUUGUUUGAUUGUUGUGGUUUCUCUCUAUUAUUAUAGGGUCUGCCUUAAGGUGACUUGAGCUCUAAAUAAAUAAAAAUGAAUUCAGAGGAGGAGGAGACACAAAUCCCUGUGGGGGCUGCUUCAGGAAGGGCACCCGGCAUAAAAACUGCCGAAUCAAACAUGCCGAGCUACCCGCUGGGGUGAGACAUUGUGAAUAAGCUAGCAGCCAAAAGUAACUCCAGUUUAUUUCUAAUGAUACUGUAUAACUCACACUUCUGAUAUUAAUGUAACACAGUAUCAGUUCCAGAGGGCGUGAUCUCUGCGGCUCAGAAUACACUGUUCCCCCAUGUCAAGCUCAGCCUCCUGGUUAAGUAACUUGAUUAAUAAACCACAGGUCGACUGAGGCACUGCUCUAUCCUCAGAGCAGAGGUGGGCUUUCAUUUUGGCACCUCGGAGCUUGAAGACAUUUCUAUUUGCCUCAGAGGACCCUGCAGAAUCCAGGAGGCACACAUAUCAUUCAGUGUAUCGGCACACCCU